rnacentral:tRNA from 1 species
UUUAAGGCAAGGUUUUUCUCACUGGCCUUGUGGUGAGCUCAGCUCAUUGCUGGUUUUCACAUUACAGCACAACUUAGAAAUUGUGGCCAAAAUUCUUUCAAAUAAAUGUCCUCUGGGAGUCUGGUGACUUGACUCUUGGUAGCAGCUCUCUGCAGAAUGUAGGGCAUGUAUUAGGACACCCAGGGAUGCAUUAAGUGAAGGAACUGAAGCAGCUGAGAUCUGAGCUCUGUGCAUCAAUUGUUUAAAAAUCACCUUGUGCAGGUGUUGCUUCAAGGGGGUAUAGCUCAGUGGUAGAGCAUUUGACUGCAGAUCAAGAGGUCCCUGGUUCAACUCCAGGUGCCCCCUUCACACUGUGGACUUUUUUCCUGAGAAAAACCAUGAGGAGCAUUCCUUAUUUUUAAACCCUGUCUGUUUGUGCCUUGCCCAGAGAGCUGGUUUCCAGAAUUCCAUUUUCAUGACACUGCAUUCAUCUAAGGAUAUACAACCAAAAUCAGUAUCUGUGUCUGUGUAAAGGCAUCAUGCCAGUUGCUGGGCCAUAGUAGUUGUUGGAUCAAUGAGGAAACUGCACUGGUUCUAGCCUGUGUAAGUAUUUAUUCAGCAUUGUUGUCUGUAAUUCUGGUUGUCUGUUGUUGCUAUAGCAUGUAUGUUAAGAAUCAAAGGAUGAUGUCAUAUAAAAACGUUAACCCAUCAACAUAAAAACUGGGCUUUUUUGUUUUUCAGUGCUCCUUGUGUGGUUGUUGAGCCAAGGGGGUAUAGCUCAGUGGUAGAGCAUUUGACUGCAGAUCAAGAGGUCCCUGGUUCAACUCCAGGUGCCCCCUCUUCACCUUCUUUUCCAGCCUUUCUUCUUCCCAAGUCCUUCACAGACAGGAUUCUUACUCUUCAGAAGUCUUCAGGAUCACUUCUACCAAACACAAAAAAGUUUGAGUGUUUCCAGGUUUACUCUGGUUCUCCUGAGCAAAUACACGUACACACAAAUAGCAUAGAGCAGUAGAGGCAAUGCAGGUCUAGUUCUUCCUGCCCGAGCAGUUGUUGCUAAUUGAGGUAAUUUCUAGAAAGCCAUUAUACUCGGUGUGUGACAGGUGCCUGUGCCCCCGCGGGGAUCGAACCCCGCACCCCAGCAGCCGCAGGCAGACGCGCUGCCCCUGAGCCACGCCCCCAUCAUCGGGCCGU